ACCGGCUGACGAGUCUGACAUAGGACGAAACGCUCGUUCUGUAU
rnacentral:hammerhead_ribozyme from 1 species